ACGGAGGGUUCAAGCGUUAUCCGGAUUCAUUGGGUUUAAAGGGUACGUAGGCGGAUUAAUAAGUCAGUGGUGAAAUCCCGAAGCUCAACUUCGGAACUGCCAUUGAAACUGUUGAUCUUGAAUUUGGUUGAAGUGGGCGGAAUAUGACAUGUAGCGGUGAAAUGCAUAGAUAUGUCAUGGAACACCGAUAGUGAAGACAGCUCACUAAACCAAUAUUGACGCUGAGGUACGAAAGCAUGGGUAGCGAACAGG
rnacentral:rRNA from 1 species